rnacentral:lncRNA from 1 species
AUAAAAAAUAUUUACCUGAUUACGUCGGCCCCAUCUACAAAGGUCCAUUGUAUAUACUUUAUCGUCCUCGUUGACAAAUUCACUCAAAUCCUACAAAGAAUGAACCUCAUUGUAAAAUUAAAAGUUGAAAUGUUACAGAUACCACCGAAGAACAAUGUCAACGUCUAUCACUAAAAGGUCCUCUUCUAUCCAUGUUACAAAGUUUGUCUUCAUCUAUUUUAGCAAGGUCUUGAUAUAGCAACUCUUUUUAUUAAAAGAAUCACUUUUAUCUUGAAUCAAUUUAAAUCACUUUUAUCGUGAAUCACUUUAAAUCACUUAUUGUCUGUUCAAAGUAAAGUUUAAUUCAUAAAAGUAAAGUUUGAAAUUUAAAAUCACCUUAUGGUAACCAAACGCACUAAACAAUAUUGUAGCAAAUAUUAUAAACACAAUAACUAAACAUACCCUAAAACGCUUCCUUAACUACAAUGUAGAUUACGGAUACAAAAUUAAGUGAGGCCAAUUGGAAAUAAGCCAAUCAUUUCCCCUUCAAGAUCUAAUUUUGUUUAGUGAAAUAUUUUUUGCUUUGAUGCCUCUUUUUCUUUUACCAAAAUUCUCGAGUAGGAUUGAAAGGUGUGCAUAUAGACCAAACACAACUCAAAUAUUUUUAAACUAAAUUAAUAUAAAUAUUAAAUUUUCAUUUUAAUUUUUUGGGUGAACCACGUAAAUCUUGUGUCUUGUGCAAUUGUUUUCUUUUAAUUUUUUCUUUGCUAUUGUUUUUCGCUGUGUUGUUAUUCUCUAACACGUUUCUCUAUUAGUUUUUGAAAAAAACUUUGCGAAAUUUGACCAUAACCAAAAAUAUUUAAGCCAAUAAUAAUAGCAGAGUAUAACCUAGAAUUAGUAAUUCAUGACAAAUUCGUCAUUUAAGCUAAAUCCCCUGCAAUCAUUCCACUACAAAAUGAAAUUUCAUCCAAUUACUUAUCAUAAAAUAUGUUAAGCUGUGUUGUAAUCAAAUAGACCGUAGACUCAACUCUCAAGAGUUGUGUGUCAUAAAGGUCAGCAAAAUAGCAGAGUUAUUUCAGAUUUUUCAGAAUGCUAGAACUACCAAACUAUGAAAAACAUCCAUUUUACUACUUUAGACUUUAUGAUGCUCAGUUCAAUCAAUCUAAGAAAAAAAGGUCUCAAGAAAGGCAGAAAAAAAGGCAGGUAAAAUAACUAAUAAAUGGUUCAUGAAAACAAAGUACAAAGCACAAAUUUCUCAAAUUCAACUUUAUUAGAGGAGACUAUUCAAAAGAUUAUGUAUGGUAUUGGCAGCGUUGCCUCUGUCUCUUUCAUUAUUAAAUUUUGCAAACUUAAUCUUGUUUCACCCCUAAAUCAUGUGUUUGCCUAAUUAUAUAUUUUUUGGUUAUAUUGCUUCAAUCUGAUCCGAUUUUAUUGUCUACUUUUCUCUACAGGAGUCCAAAUAAGUUUUGAUGAUUUGUUUGCUGAUGAAAAGAAAAAAUAUCAAAGAGUACGUAGUGGAUUCUGGAGAGCUAAGCAGUUUGAUUGAGCCAUGGGAACCUUACCUUGGUUGCUGAAGCCUUCCGCUAGAACAAUAUAUAUAUCUAAGCCAAGAAGGAAUCCAACUUGUUCAACCACUUGUGAAACAUGAAAUGACAGCAUCAGUGCAAAAGAAUAUGUUAUGAGGACUGGCAAUAGGAUCAGUCAUGCUUACCUUGAGUAUGUAUAUCUUCUGUUUUGGGUCAAGGUAGUCAUCCAAGAACCAUCUCUGAAGCUAUGUCUCACUGUUUGGAGGAAACAUGCAUGCUCUCCAACUUUCCGACACAUUGGUGGCUUGCAAUUUGGAUUGGGAACCUAGUUUCCCUUGGGGGAAACACUUUUAGUUUUCCUGCUUUGUGUUAUCCAGAGGCUGGUUCAGGCUGCAGAGAGGGAGUUAAAAAUAUUACCAACAUGGGAAUUCAUUUCCUAAGUUUUAAAAACUCAAAACCAAGGUGCAAGGAAAAGGGUUAAAAAGGACAAAUGGGACUCUCACAGUAUUAGUAAUUUUGGAAUCCCUUCUGCCAAUAUAUUGUUACUAUCAAUGGUGACUAUAAAAUUGUCAACAAUGCAGUUUAGUUUCUUCUGCUCACCCUUUCUCAAUUUAUCAACAUUUUAGCUACUUUUGUUUCCUUGUUACAAUUUUCAUUUAUUAUUUUCAUGUACUUUGAAGGGGGGAGGGGGGGGAUACCAAAUAUUUGAUGUAAUUCAUGAGGUGAAUAUCAUGGUGUAAAUCAUAAUCGUGGGUUGGAAUAACUGAUAUAUUAAUAAAGAUUGUCAAUGAAUAUAAUUACAGAUAGAGGAGAUAUAAUUCUUUAAUUUGAGGACCAGGCACUUUGCGAGUAAAGCAACAAAGUAUUACCAAGAUAAUAAAGUCACCCAAUUGCAAACAAAUUGAAGGACUUGUAGAAAAUGCCAUCAUAUAGCAAAAGAUAAUAUAUCAAGUACUCAAUUUCUAUGAAAAUUUAGCUUUAGCUUGGUAUAGGUUAGUUUACAACCCACUUGUCAAGGUAAUUUUUUUCAACAGUGCUUUAACAUAUCAUUUCUUCCAAAACAGGUUCCAACCCUCAUUGGGCUUACAUAAAUUACUCCAUGUACAUCAUCUAACAUAAUAGAGAUUGGAGAGUGGAUACUUUUUCAGUGUUAAUUAUUAUGUUUUGGGUUUUAGUGUAUAUAAAAUUUUAUUGUGCAAUAUAUUUUUGAAAUAAAAUAAAUAAUGUAUAUAUUGCACAUUGUUAACCACUUGUCGAUAUACGAACGCCAUGGCGGACACCUUAUUGCCUAGGCGUCCUGACGACCAACUACCGUAGCGCCCCACCUUGGUGUCAUGACAACUAUGAUAUUGUAUCAAUUUUUGUGUUGCACAUUACCAUAAGGUUCAUAACCUUUUUGCUUGGGUGUGGUCUUGUUCAAUGCUUCAUGGGUAGGGUGGUGAGUCUGAUAGUUUAGAAUACUUAUUGCCCCCACAUGUACACAGAUUUGUCCCCUUUCUGGUACAUUUUAAUAGAAGUGGAUUAACUUACUAAUUAACUAUAAUUUUUUUUUCUCUCUUGUUGAUGAGGCUUUUCUUCACAUGCUUGUGAACCUUAUCAACCUUAAACUGUAAUACUCCCCCAUUCUAAAAUUAGAGAUACAAUUUGAUUUUUGAGGUUAAACGAUGGCAUAUUAAAGUUCAAAAUUGGUAUGACUCAUAAAAGAUUAUAAUGAAAUAAAUUUUGUUAUUAAUAGUUUUUGUUAUAUACUAUAAAAUUUUAAUAAUUGUAUUAACUAAAAUUAAAUAAAUACACAUCAAUUUGAAGUUUAGUAUGCCGUCGUUUGAUCUCAAAAGUCAAGUUGUAUCUCUAAUAUUUGUUAAUCGUGUUCCAUGCCAAGCACAUUGCUUCCUGGUAAUUUAAUUUAUCUUAUCCAACCGAUCCUAGAGUAUUUGCAAUUUUGCAUUAAAAAAACCAUGUGUGAUAUUAUGUGAACACGUCUAAUCUAGUAUUAUCAACAGGUCUUGAUGAUCUCCAAUUAUACUCGAUGCUUUAUUUCUAGUUUUUUUGGACCAUUUGACUGAAUUAAUUUUGGCUUUACUUUAUUUUCCAUUCUAGUAAUGCAUUUGUUAGCACUUACCAUGCACCCAUAAAUUAUUAUUACUAUUUUCCUUUUCAUAUACAUUCCAAUUUUACCCAGAUAGGAAGCAUGUCUUCAGAUGGUUGUUUAUAGUUGAUUUUUUUACAUUAUUUGUUCAAAUGCUACUUUUGAGUUGUGAACUUGUGAUCACCAACCUGUUGACUGCAUUAUUUUGUAUAAUGUUGUACUGGAACUUUGUAGACCAUUUAAAAGCUACAUAUUAUGUCUUAUGUCAGCACAAGAUAUUUACCAGGAAAAAUAUCUUUGCAGGGGAAUGCUGCAUAUAAGGGAAAACAGUAUAAUAAAGCUGUAAGUUACUAUACUGAAGCUAUAAAGUUAAAUGAAUCAAAUGCAACUUUCUACAACAAUCGUGCAACUGCUUACCUAGAAUUAGGAUGGUAUACUUUCGCUUCUUGUUCCCAGAGAAUUUCUUGGUAUGCCUCUUCACAUUAUAUCCAAAGGUUGCUCUUACUGACUGAUAAUAUUUUUUUUCCAGCUUUCAGCAAGCUGAGGAUGACUGCAGCAAAGCUAUAUCACUUGAUACAAAUGUUAGUCAACAAGCUUAUGAAUGUUUUAUUGUGUUAAAAGGCAUAGUUAUACUCAUAUGUGCAUCAUUCUCAUUACCUAGACACAUGCAAUUAUAUCAAGAAAAGGUGUUAUAUAUCAUUUUUCCUCGCAACUCACAGUGAAAUUAUUUGUUAGUUAACACUUGCAGAAAAGAAAAAGGCAAAAGCUUCAAAAUAUCGAAUUGAUUGCAAAUUAAUCAAAUGUAAAAAAUCAGAAUCUCACCCCC